rnacentral:tRNA from 1 species
GGAGAGCUGGCUCAGUGGUUAAGAGCACUGACUGCUCUUCCAGAGGGUCCUGAGUUCAAUUCCCAGCAACCACA